AUUGAACGCUGGCGGCAGGCCUAACACAUGCAAGUCGAGCGGAGCGGCGGACGGGUGAGUAAUGCCUAGGAAUCUGCCUGGUAGUGGGGGCUCACGUCCGGAAACGGGCGCUAAUACAGCAUACUAUCAGAUGAGCCUAGGUCGGAUGAGCUAGUUGGUGUGGUAAAGGCCUACCAAGGCGACGAUCCGUAACGGGUCUGAGAGGAUGAUCAGUCACACGGGAACUGAGACACUGUCCAGAUUCCUACGGGAGGCAGGAGUGGGGAAAAUGGGACAAUGGGCGAAAGCCUGAUCCAGCCAGGCCGCGUGUGUGAAGAAGGUCGUCGGAUUGUAAAGCACUUUAAGUUGGGAGGCGUUACCAACAGAAUAAGCACCGGCUAACUUCGUGCCAGCAGCCGCGGUAAUUC
rnacentral:rRNA from 1 species